CAAUUAAACCCUGAUGUAGAAGCCGCACUACGAGAAUUCCUUCGGGAAAAUUGGGACAUUUUUGCCUGGCACCCUUCAGAUAUGCCAGGAAUCCCACGCAGGCUGGCAGAGCACAGCCUAAACAUCCUAAAAGCAUUCAAGCCAGUCAAACAGGCUCUUCGACGAUUUUCCGAACCAAAAAGACAGGCAAUGGGAGAGGAGCUAGCCAAACUAUUAGAAGCCGGAUUCAUCAGAGAUAUAAAACAUCCGGACUGGCUAGCGAACCUGGUAAUGGUACCAAAAAAGGACAAAUCCUGGCACCUUUGUGUGGAUUUUAAAGACCUUAAUAAGGCCUGUCCAAAGGAU
rnacentral:rRNA from 1 species